GAAAGAGUGCGUAAUAGCUCACUGGUCGAGUGACCCCGCGCCGAAAAUGUACCGGGGCUAAACAUAUUACCGAAACUGUGGAUGAACCUCUUUAGAGGUUCGUGGUAGGAGAGCGUUCUAAGGGCGGUGAAGUCAGACCGGAAGGACUGGUGGAGCGCUUAGAAGUGAGAAUGCCGGUAUGAGUAGCGAAAGAAGGGUGAGAAUCCCUUCCACCGAAUAUCUAAGGUUUCCUGAGGAAGGCUCGUCCGCUCAGGGUUAGUCGGGACCUAAGCCGAGGCCGAUAGGCGUAGGCGAUGGACAACAGGUAGAGAUUCCUGUACCAGUGCUAAUUGUUUAACCGAUGGGGUGACACAGAAGGAUAGGGAAUCGCACGAAUGG
rnacentral:rRNA from 1 species